GUUCCCUGAACGAUGGUGUUCCGAUGGUCCAUCACAAAGGCCUUCAAGGAGACUACUAUAUCCUGGUUAUGGACAAACUAGGCCCGAGUUUUAUGGGACGUUUGGAACUCUAGCAACCAAAUUCUCUCUGAAGAAAUGGUUGCUUGUAUAGCAGUGGAAGCAUUAUCGAUAUUAGAGCAGCUUCACUUACGAGGUUUUGUUCAUGGAGAUGUUAAACCUGAAAACUUUUUGCUCGGUCAGCCUGGGACACCUAAUGAGAAAAAGUUGUAUUUGGUUGAUCUCGGUUUAGGGGAACAGUACGUUAUGCAAGCGUACAUGCACAUUUAGGGAGGACGGGAAGUAGAAGGGACGAUCUCGAGUCUUUGGCGUAUACAUUAAUAUUUCUUCUCAGAGGAAAGCUUCCAUGGCAAGGCUUCAUUGGAGAAAACAAAGGGUUUCUUGUUUGUAGAAAGAAGAUGGCAACAUCUCCCGACUUACUUUGCUAUCUUUGCCCUGAUUGUCUAAAGCUUUAUGUUUGGAAGGGGCAUUAUGGGAAUAUUGGAAAGCCUAAUAGUGAAUGGCAGAGUUACAGGAGUUCAAGAGAGGCGCAUAUAGGUGUUUUUUUAUGGUGAAAGGAGUCUUUAAGAGAAUAAAGAAUUAUUUCCUGACAAUAAAAAGUGGAAAUUUUGCUGGAAAUUGGACAUAGAUUCAAUUAUAAUUGGAAUUAUAAAAUCAAAUGAAGAUGGUUGUCUCAGAUGUUAUUUCUGGCACUAAAAUGUAUUGGAUAGUGCAAGUAAUGGGAAUGUGGGCAUGGGUUACUGGUAUAGUAAUGAGGAAAAGGCUUGAUGGUUGGGCUUGGCUGGUUCCAAUUAGUUUUCACAAGUUAAAUGUGUAUGUGUAUUGGGCUGUUAGGCCGAGGUAACUUCGUGUUUGAGGUGUGCCUUUGGGUUAUGAUGGGCCGGACUAGGAGUAUUAAUAAAAUUAGGAAUGUGGUUAUGAAAUGGGUGAUUAUAAUAAGUGUAAAUGGUGAGCUUGAUGGUGAUGGGCUGCAACAAUGGUGGAAGAAAUGGGCUGAUUACGUUGAGAACAAAUAUAGAGGUUGGACUGGGUAUUUGAUGAAUAUGUGGAAUAGAAGUUGAUGAUGUUUUCUGGGCCAUUAAUGGAUGAUGGUGAAGGAUGUUAAGAAACAAUUUUGGAGCAGGGAUAGUGUUUGGGCUGCGGCCCAGUUGAGGGUUAUUUGCUCCAAUAGAAUUCGUAUGGAUGCUUUGGUUUAGGUUGUCCGUAUGUGUGUAUAUUUUGUUGUAUAGAGCCCAUAUGGUUUAUUUGGAUAUAUGUUAUGGGUGUUGGUUGGCCGAUAGGUUUUAGAGUUAGGUGUUUUGUUGAUUGUUUUAUAGUUUUUUUUUUGUUUGGGCCAAGUGUUUUUCUUGGGCCUAUCCCGGGAAUUACAUAGUACC